ensembl:lncRNA
CUGGCACCCCUCAGCCUGUCUUUGGCUAGACCCAGAGGACCAGGAAAACUACCUUUCGUUUGGCAUUGGAAGAGUUGGGUUGAAUUCUGAUCCAGGCACUUGUGUGCUCUGUGACCUUAGGAAAUGUAUUCAAAGUUCCUGAGCUUCCGUAUCCUAAUCUGCGGCCAUUUGUACUUUCCUGUUUCCCCGAGAUGAUUACCCGGGAGACCUGGGGAGACAAGGAAGGAGGCAGCGAGGCCUUGGGGAAUAGACGCGCUCAGCCUGGAAUUCUGUUGGGAGCACAGAAAACACACACUGAACUGUGUUGCCAUGGAAGCUUACCUAACGCUUCCCUGGGGCUAAACUGGCCUUGGCUGGCCCAGGCCCAGCCCAUUUUCACCUUCCAGAUUGCUAAACAAAAUUAGAAAAAUGCUUUUGGAUCUUCUCUUCUGGGGCAUCCACAUGACCGCUCCCCUUGAUGGGGAUAACUGCACACUGACUCUGUGAAAGAGCAUCGCUGGAGGAAGAGCUCGCGCAGGCUUUGGACUGACCCCAGACUGAGGUCAAGUCUUGAAGGACUUUUAGUUCCUUAUCUGUAAAAAGGGGGUAAUAUUACCUUCCUCAUGGGCUAUUUUAGGGUUAUGAAUAAUACACGUAAGAGAUCUGACACUUUGAUGCUUAGUGGGAACCAACAAAUGAGAGCUGCCAUCAUCAUCACCAUCUUUUCCGCCACCACCACCGCCACCGCCAUCAUGGUCACAGCAGGCCUGGGUUGAGAGUUGGGGAAGGGGAGGGGGGUCAACAGGCAGGGCUCGGUUUGCAUGGCUAGCUCCCCAGGAAUUGGAUAUGCAAGCUUCUGUUUUGCAUGGUGGCAGAUUUUUGCAUUUUUCCCUUUAUCACUGUUCCACCUCCCUCUAGUUACCCUCAACCCCCCUGAGCCAGCUCUCUCUCCAGCCUAAGCACCAAUCAUGGGCUGGGCAGGCCCUGCAGAGGACACAAAGUUGCAUGAGACACUGCUCCCUCAUGCAAGGGGAACACCAGGGCUUAAAUUCUCCCACGACAAAUGUGUCAAAGCCGUGCGAACAAGACCACGAGUUCCACGGGGGCUGGUCUUGACGUCGAUGAAAGGGUGGGGCAAGCUGCACAGAGGAAGGCUUUAGGAAAGGCAGAGGACAAGCAGGGAGGGGUGGUGACAGUCAAGCUAACAUUGAUGGAAGGCCUCCGACUGCCGGGCACUGUUCCCUGAUCUAGUGUUCAUAUCGGGCCUCUUGGGUAGUUAUUAUCUGCAUUUUUGGCAGAGGGAAAGGAACCUCAGAGAAAUUAAGUAAUUUGCCCAACUUCACAAUGUUAGGAAGUCGCUCCAGAAUUCUUUUGCUUGCCUUCACUAUCCUUCAGCUUUUGGUCACACGUGGCUGCGGAGCAGAACGUGCGUAAAUACGCUCAGUCCCACCAGCAGACGGGGUUCCCAUUCCAGUUCUUCCCUUCACAGCUGUGUGCACUUGGGCACUUUCCCAUUCCUGCCUGGCAGGGUCUUUAUGAGUUUAAAUGAGGUGAAGUGUGCAUUGCACACAGUAGGGCCACAGGACGUGUUUCUGAGGCUCUGACAAUCCAUCUGAUGCUCGAGUCCCCUUGACCUUUGCCUUGAACCCUUCCUCACUCACCGGAAGCCGAGACUUCCUAGAUGAUGCUACAGAUUUCACUUGCCCGGAGCUCGAAGUUUUGGGAAGCCCUUGCUUACGGGUGAGCAGAAGUCUCUGGGGGCUCCUUCCUGCGGGUUCCAGUUGCAUCCCUUGGACCACACAGAUGAAUGUCCCUUCUUCCUCCUGGCAGGCGGUGUCUCUUCUCCAGGCCUUGCACUCCCAGCUCCUGCAGCUAUGUCUCUGUGGAACAUGGUUCCCAUUCCCCUCCUUAACCUAGACACCUCCUUGCAUCACCUCUUACUUGUUCAGUUCCCUCCUAAGAGUCAAACAAGAGCCAAACACUGUUCUCCAGGCAUGGUGUGAUCUGCGGGGAGAAAAUGGGCUCUUCCACACUGUCAUCUGCUGCUGAGGACCACGGAGGGCUUCAUGGCGGCCUCCUCAAGCUGUUGCUGGAGCGAAGGCGUGCACACUUGCACACAAGUGUGAUGAACAAUGGUAAGAAGGCAAGCGUCAACUGUGUGUCCAGGGGAGGGGCUGCUCAUUCCCUCUGCAGCAUCUACUCUGGGCAGGCACCCUGCCAGGUGCAGACUGGCACAGAGAUGGGAACCAGACAGACGCCAGAGGACCCUGCCCUGUCCGCCAGGAGCUGUGGUCUCACACUCGUGGGAUGAACGUGAUGGCAAGGUAGGUCCAGCGGCUCAUAGUAAGUAUGUGCGCCAGUCCGGCUGGAGCAGAUGCUAGGGCUCAGCGGGAGCUCCUGGAAGCACACCUUUGUCACCUUCUUACUUCCCUUCAUCUUGGACUCAGCCAUGCAAUCAACAACUACAUCCUGUUGGUUAUUUCUUCUCACCGUAUGUGGCCUCCACCCUGACUUCCCACCCCACUGCUCCUGCCACACCGCAGGCCUCGUCCCUUGCGUCCUGCAAUAGCCCCCUUCCUAGUCUCCUGCCUCCAGUUUGUGCCCCUACCCCCUAACCUACAUAUCUCAGCCCGCUUAGUCUGCCUACAGGACUUCUUUAGCCAUGUCACCCUUCUGUCCCCACACCUUCCUUGGCCCUUGUGACCUACAGGAUAAACUCUGUCUGGCUUUGAAACCCUCGAUCCCACCCAACUCCUCACCACCCACCUUUUCUGCUCUGUUCUAUGGGAAUCCUGUUCCCGACCAAUGACUCAUCGCAUUUCCAGAUCUUUCCAUUCUUUUCUAAGCUCAAUUCAAUCAAGCCUAAAACCAUUUUAAAUAGCUCUUCGCUUCCUCUGAAGUCCUAUAGCGUAUGUCUUAAUCACUCAUUUAUGUGAAAGCAAAAUUUUGUUGCUAAGGCACACAAGGUAGACUUUGGCCAGGCAGUAUUUUUAUUUAUACAAGGGCUCAGCGUGUACACAGAUAUCUUUAUACCCCUGCAACCCUCUCCAUUUCCUUUGUGUACAUUCGGGUUAGUGGAGGUAGUGAACAGCUGUUGUUUUCACCUGUCCAACAUCUCUUCCUCAUCUUUUGCCCCAUCACCUUUCUGCCCCUCUUUUAUAUAGUUUGGGUGGGGCUGGCCAUCCCUCUCCACGGCCCGGGCACAUGAUCCGGUCUGGUCAAGAUUACAGUAUUCUAGUCCCUUGCCCACAGUGAUUGGUUCUGGGGUGAGCAAGGGCCCUAAGUCAGCCCAAUGAGAGUCAGCCUUGGAAUUUAGCUGGAAGCACUGGGAAAGAGGCACUCCAUGGUCAUCGUCCUUGCUGCCAAGAAGGAAGCUAACACAGAGGAAAACAGUCAAGAGAAGAAGAGAAGGAUGGCCCUGCUGUCAUCGCCAAGCCUCCCAUCCGUCUACGCUGAAAGCCAAGUUCACCCCUGCACUUCCCAAUUGUGGGAGCAAAUAAAUCAUCUUGUGCUUAA